rnacentral:rRNA from 1 species
AUGUAUUACGGCCACCCACGCCACUCGACCUUGCCGGCGCUCGUGCCACCGCGCUGGCCUGUUCCAAGCCCUCACCGUCGUCGACCGCGAGAUUGCAGCACGAGCACCGGUGGGUUCCCUACUUCGACUGCAGCUCUCCAAUGGCCGGUCCCAGGACGGGGUGACCGUGGUUGCAACAUCCCAUGGUCACCGCCUCUGGCUCGCCGCCGUCAUCGGCUUGCAUCACCAUGUCUCAACAAUCACAAAAGUCAGCAACAAAAAUUCCAAAAAAAAACGAGGAGCACCAAAAAUCGUCUGUUCCAGCAAAAUAAAUCACUGGCUCCAACAAAAAAAUGGGUCGCUGCUCGUCAUAGCAAAAAUCUAUUUGGUUCCAGCAAAAACAAAUGUCGGUUCCAGCAAAACUUACAAAUGGUUCCAGCAAAGAAAACGUUGCCGUCGUAG